GGUAGUGACAAUAAAUCACAAUGCGGAACUAUUAGUUUUGCAAUUGGAUUGAGAACAAUGUACAAAUGUUAUCGAUAAACAAUUGGAGGGCAAGUCUGGUGCCAGCAGCCGCGGUAAUUCCAGCUCCAAUAGCGUAUAUUAACGUUGUUGCAGUUAAAAAGCUCGUAGUUGAAUUGAAGUGAACUUGGGUUGAUGUGAUCUUCGGAAGACAUGAAUCAAAGUUGACUCUUUCCAAAGUCAAUACAUUGGUAUUCAUUUAUCCUUGUAUUGUGUUUGGUCACUUCCUGUGAGAAAAUUAGAGUGUUCAAAGCAGACGUUUGUUUGACUACAUUGGCAAGGACUAAUCAUAUAUGGCUUUCAUGUUGAUUUGAUUGGUUUGAAUAUGGAAGCAAGAUUAAAAGGGACAGUUGGGGGUAUUCAUAUUCAAUAGGCAGAGGUGAAAAUCUGAAAAUAAUGGAAUAUGAA
rnacentral:rRNA from 1 species